GACGAACGCUGGCGGCGUGCUUAACACAUGCAAGUCGAACGGAAAGGCCCUGCUUUUGUGGGGUGCUCGAGUGGCGAACGGGUGAGGAACACGUGAGUAACCUGCCCUUGACUUUGGGAUAACUUCAGGAAACUGGGGCUAAUACCGGAUAGGAGCUCCUGCUGCAUGGUGGGGGUUGGAAAGUUUCGGCGGUUGGGGAUGGACUCGCGGCUUAUCAGCUUGUUGGUGGGGUAGUGGCUUACCAAGGCUUUGACGGGUAGCCGGCCUGAGAGGGUGACCGGCCACAUUGGGACUGAGAUACGGCCCAGACUGCUACGGGAGGCAGCAGUGGGGAGUAUUGCACAAUGGGCGGAAGCCUGAUGCAGCAACGCCGCGUGCGGGAUGACGGCCUUCGGGUUGUAAACCGCUUUCGCCUGUGACGAAGCGUGAGUGACGGUAAUGGGUAAAGAAGCACCGGCUAACUACGUG
rnacentral:rRNA from 1 species